rnacentral:rRNA from 1 species
UGGGGAAUCUUGCACAAUGGGCGAAAGCCUGAUGCAGCAACGCCGCGUGCGGGAAGAAGGCCCUCGGGUUGUAAACCGCUUUCAGAAGGAACGAAACUGACGGUACUUUCAGAAGAAGGUGCGGCCAACUACGUGCCAGCAGCCGCGGUGACACGUAGGCACCAAGCGUUGUCCGGAUUUAUUGGGCGUAAAGAGCUCGUAGGCGGUUCAGUAAGUCGGGUGUGAAAACUUUGGGCUUAACCCAAAGCGUGCAUCCGAUACUGCUGUGACUUGAGUACGGUAGGGGAGCGGGGAAUUCCUAGUGUAGCGGUGAAAUGCGCAGAUAUUAGGAGGAACACUGGUGGCGAAGGCGCCGCUCUGGGCCGAAACUGACGCUGAGGAGCGAAAGCAUGGGUAGCAAACAGGAUUAGAUACCCCGGUAGUCCC